rnacentral:lncRNA from 13 species
AGAUGGAAGAGAUAGAACGAGAAAGGGAGAAAGAGAGACAGAGACAGAUUGAAAGAGAGAUUGAAGAAGAAAGAUGUAAACAGAAGCAAAUAGAGAUGGAAGAGGAAGAAAGAGAGAGGGAGAAAGAGAGACAGAGACAGAUUGAAAGAGAGAUUGAAGAAGAAAGAUGUAAACAGAAGCAAAUAGAGAUGGAAGAGGAAGAAAGAGAAGAAGAGAGACAGAGAGAGAUUGAAAGAGAGCAUGAAGAAGAAGAAAGAAGUAAACAGAAGCAAAUAGAGAUGGAAGAGGAAGAAAGAGAAGAAGAGAGACAGAGAGAGAUGGGUGAGAAAGAGAGACGACAACAACAAGAGGAGAGACAGAAACAAAAGGAGAAGGAGAAAGAAAGGGAGAAAGACAAUGAGAAUCAGAGAGAGAUGGAAUUAAGAGAUCAGCAACAGAAAGAGAUGGAGAGAGAAAAUAUGAUUAUGAGAGAAAGGGAGGAAGCAGGAAGAAGAAAGGAGGGGCAGAAAAAUAUUUUGGGGGAAGUUGAGGGACAGAAUGAACUGGAGAUAGAACAGGAGAGAGAGAUGGAAGAAAAGCAGGAAGUGAUUAAGGAAGCAGAGGAAGAGUACAGGGAAAGAGAAGAGAGAGGAAAGGAAGUAAGCAUGAAGAAACAUGUAGUAGUUAAUGUUAAAGCAAAAGCACGGGAAGUCUUCAAUAGGCGUAAAGAGAGGAGGUUAGAAGUGUUGAAGGGGGAACGAGAACACAUAGAAAGAGGACAACAAAUCAGGAGGGAGAAGGAGGAAAUACGGCUGGAGAUGGAAAGAAAACAGGAGAGGGCAAGACAACAAGAGGAGCAGGAUAGAAAACAAGAGAUUGAAAUUGCUAGACAGAAAGAAAUGUUGAGACUAAGAGAGGAGGAGAGGCAGAGAGAGGAUGAGAGAGAGGAGCAGAGAAAGAAAGCCAUUGAAGGCCAUUUAGCUUUAAUCAGAGAGAGAGAAAAUAUAAUACAGGCAAAAAAAAGAGAGGAGAUGGUGGAAGAGGAAAGAAGGAAGAUCCUUGAGUACAAGAGGGGUGAGUUAGAGGAGGAGGAGAAGGAAGAUGACAAGGAGGACAUUCUCCCACCUGAUAAUAGUAUCCGAAGGAGAGCUGUGGGCUGGGUGAACAAGAAGUGGGAGAAGAGGAACCUCAAAAAGAUAGAGAGAACCUGUCAGAGAGAAGCUGAGGAGGGCCAUAAGAUCGUCCACAUAGUCAUCCCUGGACCCAUAAGGAUAACCAUGACCCGGGCAGAGAGAGAGAGGGAGAAGAGGAAGGAGCUGCUGAAGGCUGAGGAGAGAAGGAAGAAGAUGGAGGAUUUCAAUAAGCAGUGGAGAGAGCGGUCCCUGCUUAAAAAACAGACUCAUGAAAAACUGAAGGAGGAGAGGGAGAGGAUGAAGGAAAACUACCUGGAGCAGAUGAAUCUGGAGGCUGAUGAGCAAAUCCAGAAGUUCAGCACCCAGUACAUCACCCGUUGUCCAACCACCCAACACAGCCACGACUACAACCAAGGUCAGGAAUUGCCGCGGUGGGCGACAGGCCAACAAGUAAGCCACGAGCCUUUUGCAUCUGGAGAUGGCCAGCAGGAGGGGCCAAGGAGGCAACAGGCAUGGGCAGAGAACCAGGAGGGGAGUUCAGAGAACCAGCAGGAGGGGCCAGAGAACCAACAGGGGGGGCCAGAGAACCAACAGGAGGGGCCAGACAGCCAGCAGCUAGAAGCUCCAGAAGAGGUUGAAACAUCAGAGCCAACCUCCAAGAACAAGAAAAAGCCAAGCAUCUGGAAGAAAAUUAGGAUGAGCCUUCCUGAUGUGCUGUCUGCCUAGAGCUGGAACUCGAUGAAGCCACAGUUCCACUGAGGUUACGUUGGUUAUUAAAAGUGUCGCCCAAUAAUUCCUCCUCCUCUUUAAGUCAUCAAGCCACAUUUCCUCCUCAAAACAUUAUAGUCUCCUCAAGCCAGCAAGUAUCUUCUUUAUCAGGCAACAAACCAUCGAAGGUCAGUGACCCUCCUCUCCAGAACAGAGACUCUCAUCUUUAUCCUAGUUAAAUUCAUCUCUGAUCACCACCUCUACUGUUCUAGAAAAUAUCCCCAAAAUGGAAAUGGUUUCAACAGAAGUCCUCCCCUCAGACCAGUGGCUCCACAGACCAGAGUUUCUCAUCUUUAUUCAAGUUGAAUGCAACUCUGAUCAUUUCCACCACCUCUCCUGUUAAGGGGAGGUGCUGAAAAGGAGGUCUGGGAGGAGGUCUGCAGGUAGCCUGGACCGGACCGGUAGCAGCUAAGUUGCUGGCUCCAUCCCCGGGCAGAGCUGCUCAAGUCAGGCCACUGAUGUUUGAUGAUGUCAUUUUGUUAUCAAAUUUAUUAAAAAACAAUAUUGUUGUUACGGUGUGGAUUGUUUUGUUAUUUAUUAGAAUUGAAACAUCCAGUAGUCAUGGUAGAUGUUAGACUUUCAAUGAGACACCUAACAUUCCAUCAGUUUGAUACAAUGUGUGACAUGUUAUAUUAGAGAGGAGUCCUCUAUACACAUCUAUUUUAGACCAUAGGAGAAAUAUCAGAUUGAAAUAGCUUCUCUAAGAAUCUGAG